rnacentral:misc_RNA from 1 species
GAAAUGCGAUAAGUAAUGUGAAUUGCAGAAUUCAGUGAAUCAUCGAAUCUUUGAACGCACAUUGCGCCCGCCAGUAUUCUGGCGGGCAUGUCUGUUCGAGCGUCAUUACAACCCUCAGGCCCCCGGGCCUGGCGUUGGGGAUCGGCGGAAGCCCCCUGCGGGCACAACGCCGUCCCCCAAAUACAGUGGCGGUCCCGCCGCAGCUUCCAUUGCGUAGUAGCUAACACCUCGCAACUGGAGAGCGGCGCGGCCACGCCAUAAAACACCCAACUUCUGAAUGUUGACCUCGAAUCAGGUAGGAAUACCCGCUGAACUUAAGC